rnacentral:rRNA from 1 species
AUGCACGCUGGCGGCGUGCCUAAUACAUGCAAGUCGAGCGAACAGGCGAGGAGCUUGCUCCUCUGACGUUAGCGGCGGACGGGUGAGUAACACGUGGAUAACCUACCUAUAAGACUGGGAUAACUUCGGGAAACCGGAGCUAAUACCGGAUAAUAUAUUGAACCGCAUGGUUCAAUAGUGAAAGACGGUUUUGCUGUCACUUAUAGAUGGAUCCGCGCCGCAUUAGCUAGUUGGUAAGGUAACGGCUUACCAAGGCAACGAUGCGUAGCCGACCUGAGAGGGUGAUCGGCCACACUGGAACUGAGACACGGUCCAGACUCCUACGGGAGGCAGCAGUAGGGAAUCUUCCGCAAUGGGCGAAAGCUUGACGGAGCAACGCCGCGUGAGUGAUGAAGGUCUUCGGAUCGUAAAACUCUGUUAUUAGGGAAGAACAAAUGUGUAAGUAACUAUGCACGUCUUGACGGUACCUAAUCAGAAAGCCACGGCUAACUACGUG